UGCUAUGUUCCAGGGUCUUCUACAAGGAGUUUCGGUUUUUCUUCAUGUGUAAGUGCUGAAUUUACUGCCUGCCAACAGUACAAUCAAUUAGUGCAGGCCAUUAAUAAUCGAUGUAGGGAGAAGAGGUAAUCAUUGGUGCACAUGAUUUUGCAAUGUCAGAGAAAUGUUAUGCAAACUUUGUUGGUUGUUAGUCAUUUCAAUUAUUUGUUUUGUAAUUUUCAUGCUUAAUAGUUCAACUUUGUCAGUUGAAGAUUCUCGUCAAGUGAAAACCUAAAUAAUUUCUAUAAUCAACCAGUCUUCAAAAAAAUUUUUUGCUUAACUUUGAGUCAAAUAUUGAUUUUCUAUACAUAAUGAAAAAUAUACAUAUAUAUAUUUAGGAAGGCAUGCCAGCGUUCUUGCAUGUUUCAUUACAUCAUCUUCAUAACACAAAUGUUGGUUUUAUGUUGUUAUUAACAAAGACAUAAUGCGCUAAGUUUCAGAAAAUUGAAAGAGAAAAAUGUCGAUUUAAUUAUAUUAGUCAACUUUGAUUUCAGAACAUGGGAAUUAUUACGUUUAUGCAGCCAAUUCAAAAGGCCAAUUUUCAGUGUUGAUCAAAAUUUAAUUUUAUGGGUUUUUUAUCCAUCCUAAAAAAUCAUUUACAGGUUUGAUUAGAAUGUUCCUAAAAUUUGAGGAUUUUGUAUCCAUCCCAAAAAAUCAUCUAUGGGAUUUGAUGAAAUGACAUGUUUCAAUUUUGAACAAAUGCUUUUCUGAUGCUCCAAUUUUAACUAAUUCCAUUUUAGUUGAUGAAGCUAAAUGAUCUACAUAUCACAAUGAGAUGGUGCCCUAACUGUGGGUUCCUGAGAGCAUUGCUUUUAACUGCGCUAUGUCCAAUUAAGCCACUGAAAGUUGCAUAUAGCUUCAGAAAACAUGUACAAAGGUAGAUUGAGUCGGAGGCAAUUAAAGUAACGAUGGAGUUGCAAUAACAAUCCACUUGGACGAUUGAAAUAUGCAUGUAGUUCUAGUUUGGAGUUCAGAUCAUAUGAUUUAGUUUAAUUCAAUUUCAAUUUUAUCUGUUGUUGAUUAUCGAUGUUCUUAUACCAGGUUGAGCUUGUAUGAGGCACCUAGACUUUUGUACCAAUUUAAGUCACUAUCCCUGGUUCUUGAGAUGAUAGGACUACAUAACUAUAGUAAUUGUACAUAUGUUGUGCUCAUGUUAAUCAAAAUUUAAUUUUAUAGAUUUUUCAUCCAUCCUAAAAAAUGAUCUAUAGGUUUGAUUACAAUGUUUCUAAAAUUUGAGGAUUUUGUAUCCAUCUUAAAAAAUCAUCUAUAGGUUUGAUUAGAAUGUUCCUGAAAUUUGAGGAUUUUUGUAUCCCUCCUAAAAAAUCAUCCAUGGGAUUUGAUGAAAUAACAUGUUUCAAUUUUGAACCAACGCUUUUCUGAUGUUCCAAUUUCAAAUAAUCUCAUUUUAGUUGCUGAAGCUAAAUGAUCUAAAACUCACAAUGACAUGGUGCGCUAACUGUGGGUUCCUGAGAGCAUUGCUUCAGAUGACAUGUCCUUAAACACAGGUUUUCCAUGCUAUCUUGUAUAUCACUAAUUCUAAAAGCCAUAGUGCUUCGUGCUGCCUAGAGUAUGCAAAAGUCACCUGAGUUGAGUAGACAUUUCCAAUUAUAACACUUUGGUCAGUCAUAUUGAUUUGUUGCAUGUGCAGAGGUAGUUUGAGCAGGAGGCAAUUAAUCUAACGAUGAAUUUGCCACAACAUUCCACUUGGAGGAUGGAAUCAUAUUAUUUUGCAUGUGAAGCCAAAAGAAUAAUUUUGUCUAUAGUUUUGGGUCACAAAGAUCAAGUGCAGCACAAAAUUUGCAGGUAGCCUGCUGGAAAUAGGUGCUUGAGCAGGAACUCUCACAUCAGCUGGAAUCUCAUCCAAAUUACAAGAGAUCAGGCAAAGAGAAAGAUUAAAGGUUGAAAAUUCCAUUACAAUAUAUAUGAGAGAGAGUAUCACAUGUGAAGCAAAAAGAAUAAUUCUGUUUAUAGUUUUGUGUCACAAAGAUCAACUGCUGCUUAAGAUUUGUAAGUUGUAUUUUCUGUCUCUGUCUCUCUCAUAUUUGAUCUAGUUGUCCCCUCUUUGGAAAAAUGCAGGUUGAUAACCUAAUGUUCAUAAUUGGCUAUCUCAUCCAAAUUAAACGAA